rnacentral:rRNA from 1 species
AUUGAACGCUGGCGGAAUGCUUUACACAUGCAAGUCGAACGGUAGAGGGGGCAACCCCUUGAGAGUGGCGAACGGGUGAGUAAUAUAUCGGAACGUGCCCAGUCGUGGGGAUAACGUAGCGAAAGUUACGCUAAUACCGCAUACGAUCUAAGGAUGAAAGCGGGGGAUCGCAAGACCUCGCGCGAUUGGAGCGGCCGAUAUCAGAUUAGGUAGUUGGUGAGGUAAAGGCUCACCAAGCCAACGAUCUGUAGCUGGUCUGAGAGGACGACCAGCCACACUGGAACUGAGACACGGUCCAGACUCCUACGGGAGGCAGCAGUGGGGAAUUUUGGACAAUGGACGCAAGUCUGAUCCAGCCAUUCCGCGUGCAGGAUGAAGGCCCUGGGUUGUAAACUGCUUUUGUACGGAACGAAACGGUGAGCUCUAAUACAGUUUGCUUAAUGACGGUACCGUAAGAAUAAGCACCGGCUAACUACGUGCCAGCAGCCGCGUAAGUG